UGGGGAAUCUUCCGCAAUGGACGAAAGUCUGACGGAGCAACGCCGCGUGAGUGAUGACGGCCUUCGGGUUGUAAAGCUCUGUUAAUCGGGACGAAUGGUUCUUGUGCAAAUAGUGCGAGGAUUUGACGGUACCGGAAUAGAAAGCCACGGCUAACUACGUGCCAGCAGCCGCGGUAAUACGUAGGUGGCAAGCGUUGUCCGGAAUUAUUGGGCGUAAAGCGCGCGCAGGCGGAUUGGUCAGUCUGUCUCAAAAGUUCGGGGCUUAACCCCGUGAUGGGAUGGAAACUGCCAAUCUAGAGUAUCGGAGAGGAAAGUGGAAUUCCUAGUGUAGCGGUGAAAUGCGUAGAUAUUAGGAAGAACACCAGUGGCGAAGGCGACUUUCUGGACGAAAACUGAAGCUGAGGCGCGAAAGCCAGGGGAGCGAACGGG
rnacentral:rRNA from 1 species